GUUGGACAACAUCUCCAGGACACUUCGCUCCAUGUGACUAGGCAGUUUGUGAAGACAGAUAAUCAAGAGAAGUCAGUUCCAGAUCCACCCUCCACACCAGACCUCUCUCUCACAAGGAUUAAUGUCUACUAGCAUAUUGUGUUCUCUUCAGACUUCGGGGAAUGCAGAUAUUACUCGGGGACACGAACACAUGAAUAUUGCAAGAAUAGAGAAAGUAAGAUAUAUUAUAUAUAUAUUUAGAUAUAUUUUUGUGGCAGUGUGAACUGGCCAUAAUGCUGUAUGAUAGGUGUGAGAUUCAUUAAACUUGAUUUGGUAUAAUACAUCUGUUCAUAAGCUAUUGCAUAUUAUUUUCAAUGAAUUAUUUGUAGUGGUUUGGUUAAGGGUGUGAUUAGCUGAUGUAUUAUUGUGGGAGCUUGUGAUUAGUUGAUAAAUGUGUUUAUUGUUAAUGAUAAUAUUUAAAUGCAAUGUGCUGAGUGCUUACUAAGACUUGCAUGUUUGUGCAUAAUGUUUUGACCCCGGAUGCUUACAGAAGGGUAUAGAUAUUUAAAUAUAUGGAAAUGUAUUUAUUAUUAAUAUAUCUCAAUCUAUGUGCUUCUGUUUGGGCUGAAUGCUUUCAUUCAUAUGUCGCUGUAUAUCCUGUUUUUAUUAAUAAUCUGGGUGUAUUACUGUUCAUAUUUGCUUGUUAAUAAAUUAACUGAAUUC